GACGAACGCUGGCGGCGUGCCUAACACAUGCAAGUCGAGCGGUAAGGCCCUUCGGGGUACACGAGUGGCGAACGGGUGAGUAACACGUGGGUGAUCUGCCCUGCACUUCGGGAUAAGCCUGGGAAACUGGGUCUAAUACCGGAUAGGACCACUGCCUGCAUGGGUGGUGGUGGAAAGCUUUUGCGGCGUGGGAUGGGCCCGCGGCCUAUCAGCUUGUUGGUGGGGUGAUGGCCUACCAAGGCGACGACGGGUAGCCGGCCUGAGAGGGUGACCGGCCACACUGGGACUGAGAUACGGCCCAGACUCCUACGGGAGGCAGCAGUGGGGAAUAUUGCACAAUGGGCGCAAGCCUGAUGCAGCGACGCCGCGUGAGGGAUGACGGCCUUCGGGUUGUAAACCUCUUUCAGCACCGACGAAGCGCAAGUGACGGUAGGUGCAGAAGAAGGACCGGCCAACUACGUGCCAGCAGCCGCGGUAA
rnacentral:rRNA from 1 species